UUUCCGUAGGAGAACCUGCGGAGGGAUCAUUACAGAGUUCAUGCCCUACCGGGUAGAUCUCCAACCCUACGUUAUUAUUACUUUGUUGCUUUGGCGGGCCGUUAGGCUCCGGCCCGACUACCGGCCCCAGCUGGUAAGCGUCUGCCAGAGGACCCAAAACCCUGAAUAUUAGAGUCGUCUGAGUACUAUAUAAUAGUUACAACUUUCAACAACGGAUCUCUUGGUUCUG
rnacentral:misc_RNA from 1 species